GACGAACGCUGGCGGCGUGCCUAAUACAUGCAAGUAGAACGCACAGUUUAUACCGUAGCUUGCUACACCAUAAACUGUGAGUUGCGAACGGGUGAGUAACGCGUAGGUAACCUGCCUGGUAGCGGGGGAUAACUAUUGGAAACGAUAGCUAAUACCGCAUAAUAUUGAUUAUUGCAUGAUAAUUGAUUGAAAGAUGCUAUUGCAUCACUACCAUAUGGACCUGCGUUGUAUUAGCUAGUAGGUGAGGUAACGGCUCACCUAGGCGACGAUACAUAGCCGACCUGAGAGGGUGAUCGGCCAAACUGGGACUGAGAAACGGCCCAGAAUCCUACGGGAGGCAGCAGUAGGGAAUCUUCGGCAAUGGACGAAAGUCUGACCGAGCAACGCCGCGUGAGUGAAGAAGGUUUUCGGAUCGUAAAGCUCUGUUGUAAGAGAAGAAAGGGUGUGAGAGUGGAAAGUUCACACUGUGACGGUAUCUUACCAGAAAGGGACGGCUAACUACGUG
rnacentral:rRNA from 1 species